GGCCUACCAUGGUGGUAACGGGUAACGGGGUGUUAGGGCACGACACCGGAGAGGGAGCCUGAGAAACGGCUACCACAUCCAAGGAUGGCAGCAGGCGCGCAAAUUACCCAAUCCCGACACGGGGAGGUAGUGACAAUAAAUAACAAUACGGGGUUCUUUCGGAUCUCGUAAUUGGAAUGAGUACAAUUUAAAUCUCUUAACGAGGAGCAAUUGGAGGGCAAGUCUGGUGCCAGCAGCCGCGGUAAUUCCAGCUCCAAUAGCGUAUAUUAAAGUUGUUGCAGUUAAAAAGCUCGUAGUUGAAUUUCGGGGUUAGCAGGUCGGUCGUGCCAUCGGUAUGAACUGGCCUCGCUGAUCCCUCCCUCUUGACGAACUGUGAUGCCAUUAAUUUGGUGUCGCAGGGAAUCAGGACUGUUACUUUGAAAAAAUUAGAGUGUUUAAAGCAGGCUCACGCUUGAAUACAUUAGCAUGGAAUAAUGAAAUAGGACGUUUGAUCCUAUUUUGUUGGUUUCUAGGAUUGACGUAAUGAUUAAUAGGGAUAGUUGGGGGCAUUAGUAUUCAAUUGUCAGAGGUGAAAUUCUUGGAUUUAUUGAAGACUAACUACUGCGAAAGCAUUUGCCAAGGAUGUUUUCAUUAAUCAAGAACGAAAGUUAGGGGAUCGAAGACGAUCAGAUACCGUCGUAGUCUUAACCAUAAACUAUGCCGACUAGGGAUCGGAUGAUGUUAAUUUUUUAAUGACUCAUUCGGCGCCUUACG
rnacentral:rRNA from 1 species